UGUUGUGUGACACGCCGUGUGUGUAGUGUGACACACGGCGUUAGUGUUGUGAUGCACAUUCCUUCCCCACACCGCGACGCGGUCAAGCGCCAGGUCCCCUCCCCCCCCCCUCGUGGUCUUUCUAUGCCCCUCCACAGAAACCAUGGACGCGUUGAGUUGAGCAAUUCCUCUGUGUCAACACACAGCAGACGAAUUUCGAGAACACAGAGAAUAUACUGGGGAGGGCACUGGACGAGAUAUCAAGCAAGAUGCUACCUAAAUAAUCAUCUCAAACCCAACCCGCGUAAAACCAAAUCUUUGCCUUCCACCUGAGAAACUGGGAUGCAGAGCGACACCUGAAUGUCACCUGGGGAGGCCAGAGCCUGGAACACCAGGGUCACCCAGUGUACCUCGGGGUAACACUGGAUCGUAUACUCAGCUACAACAAGUACAACUUUUAAUACCAAAGCCAAGGUCAACACACAACACAACAUUCUGCAAAAGCUCGCAAAUUCAAAGUGGGGAGCACAUCCAUCCACAGUACGCAUCACGGCCUUAGCACUUUGUAUCUCUGUGGCUGAAUAUGCAUGCUCUACCUGGGGACGCUCAACCCACAGUCAACAUGUCGACACCACUCUGACACGUGCAGAGUCAUAGCAGGGUGCCUGAGAGCCACCCCUGUUCCCUGCCUAUUUGCACUUUCUGGCAUAGCGGCCCCGAACAUCAGGAGGAGGGUGUCAGGUGACCACGACCGGCAAGUCCUAGAGGGGGACGUCCAUCAUGGCCAUCAGCCAGCCCACCGUCGUCUGUCAUCGAGAAACUGCUUUUUGUGCUCCACUGUACCAGUGACCACAUCGCCGGAAUCUGCAAAAACUUCCCUCUGGUGUAAAGAAUGGGACAACAUCGAGUGACAAAACUGCUGAAUGGAGCCAGCGAGGAAUGAUCCCCAGUGAGGAGCUCGCAUCUGGCUCCAAUUGCAAAUGGCACACAUGGCGGAGCCUACACUGACUGAGAGUGGGUUUCGUCAAGUUGCAACCCUCUCGUGAACUCACGGGGCUUCUGUGCAACCGAGCAAUGUGCUUGUCAGGAGAAGCAAACCACGGAUGUUCUCCUGAGAUGCCCUGCAGCACCACAUUACCCUCCUCAAGAUUUGGCAAUGCCAACACCAGAAGUGGUGGCCUGUGCAGAAUAUUGGCCAAAGACUAUACAGGUUGGACAGAAGUAGAAGAAUAAUAACUUAAUUAUUUAUUUGGAAGAAUAUUGGUGGCGAAAGUCCACUGCUGUUAUAAUAUCUGGGGUGGAGCACACAGUUCCUAACUCGCUGUGCUAAUAGUAUUCUACUUAACGCAGUCCGGUUAAUGAACGAUUCAGUACUCAGUGAAUCACUUGACUCACUCCCUCACCAGCAGUCAGUCACCUCAGUAUCACUCUUCUAUCGCUGUCACUUUGGUAACUGUUCCCAUGAACGACGCUCAUUGGCCGCUUCCACUCGGUCUUCCACACUGCCUGUGUCGUUCACACCGUGUCCAGCCACCACACAACACGUCUCUGUUUGCUUCUUUCCCUGACAUUGCUCAACAUCUAAGAUCCCCAUACAGUCUGUCUCUCUACCAAUGUCUGUACAACUUUGCUUACUUCAAUAAGCAUAUUGACUCUGACCUUUUACACAAUCGUGAGUGAUGUUUAUUGCUGGCUGCUUGUAAUGACCUCUACCAAAUCUUCACUUAAAGCUUUCGUGACUCCAGGAAUUCAUAUUCAUUGGGUCUUUCGGUAAAGUCACGGUAAUCGGUUCAAAUAAAAUCUACGUAACUUUACCCAAAGAAUAUGACCUCUACCAUUUGCGUUUUUAUUGAACUCAAAGUCCAUUGAGCCGUGCCGCACCCUCCCUGUCCUCCUCAUCAGUCAGGGGGAGAACCCCGACGCGAGCCUCAAGGGGAGUCCAUCGCCUCUCGCUCACAUCCACACAUCCGUGUGGACAACUCCUGGGCCAUGUCUCCAUUCCGCCUGCUCACCACGUUGCUAACCUGCACACUCAUGCUGAUGUUCCCACUCUCUGCAGACGGCAAUCAAGAUGGCUGUCCCCCAGGAAGUUACAGAACCGAGACCAACAUCUGCUGCCAGCUGUGCCGCAAAGGGAGUUCAAAGUUGGAAGACUGCAUCAUUGAUGGGCAGCAUCCAGCGUGCCCUCUUUGCAGACGAGGAUUGACAUUCACUGAGUCGGCAAAUAACCUCACCAGCUGCAAAGCAUGCAAAGUCUGCAACAAUCAAAGUAUUUGUUCUUUCUCUAAUUCAACUCUCCCACCUGCGGUGCCGCGUUCCCAACAGUGGUGGUGCCAGUACAUUCCCUGGUCACUGAAACCCAUCUCUGAAGCUGCCUUAAUUGAAUUGUGGGCAGUGGCAAUGGGACAUUGGUGUAGUGAUCCGUUGAUAAUAAAAAAGCAGAUUUUUUAAAAUAACAAUAAAAAUAAUAGUAAUUGAAACUUGUGACGUGCACAGUGUUGUAUAUCAGGGUAUUGAAAAUUUUGAUGAAAAUAAAAAAUUUUGAAUGAAAUUUGGAUAAAUGCGUAAGUAUCCAAAAUUUUGUUAGUUUAUGUAUUUAUGCGCACAAAUUAUGCUAAUUGCGAGAGAUUAUUGUAUUAAUGUAUGCGAAUGUAUGUGAUUAUGCUAAUGCGAACCGUUAUGAUAAUUAGGCCCUGCCUCGCUGACGAGUGUAGUAUUAUCAAUUGGGAUAAGACCAUUAAUUGUAUGAGGUUAUGCAGGUGUGCUGUAAGUAUGCCAGAUUAAACUCGGCUUCGUUGUCUAGGUUCGUAUUAUCAAUCGGUAUAAUACAAUUAUUCUCGCUUUAACAUUCACUAAUUAUGUAUUAGUGUUUAUCUCAGGUCUCCAAAGUCAAAUCUCAACGCAGGAUACAGUUUUUAUAACUAAGAUUAUUAUGCAUGAACUCAGGAAAGAAACACAAAACACUUCUGUGUUAAGCAAUUUUAAUUCUAAACGAAACCUUAACACUAUAAUAUGCGAACUCUCAUGCUUGGAAUAAUCAACACAGUACCAUCGGGGAAUUUUCCCUCAGGUAGCAGUACAUUUAACCAUCAAUGAUUGCGUUGUUUCACUUUGGCAACUGCACAUAUGAUUAAUUCCACCGCGUAACACGAGCUUAGUUGGUGAUAGGGAGAGUCUUUAAAACAGGCAUGCACGAUAUUCUAAACAAAAACCUUAACACUCUAAUGUGAAUUAUUAUGCUUGAAAUUGUCAACAGUACUGCAGGCGAUAUUCCCCUCAUUGAUCCGUACAUUUAACCCUCAAUAAUCACGUUACUUUUUGGUUCUAUUCGGUAAAGUCACGUAGGUAAAAAAAAUCACGACGUUUCGACCACAACACAAGUGGCCUUCAUCAG